rnacentral:tRNA from 1 species
UCCCAGGUGGCUCAGAUGGUAAAGAACCUGCCUGCCAAGCAGGAGACUUGGGUUCCAUCCCUGAGCUGGAAG